AGGAUCCAAGCGUUAUCCGGAUUUAUUGGGUUUAAAGGGUGCGUAGGCGGUUUUAUAAGUUAGAGGUGAAAAUUCGGGGCUCAACUCCGGACGUGCCUCUAAUACUGUAUGACUAGAGAAUAGAUGCGGUAGGCGGAAUGUAUGGUGUAGCGGUGAAAUGCGUAGAGAUCAUACAGAACACCGAUUGCGAAGGCAGCUUACCAAACUAUAUCUGACGUUGAGGCACGAAAGCGUGGGGAGCAAACAGGAUUAGAUACCCUGGUAGUCCACGCAGUAAACGAUGAUAGCUCGUUGUCGGCGAUACACAGUCGGUGACUAAGAGAAAUCGUUAAGCUAUCCACCUGGGGAGUACGUUCGCAAGAAUG
rnacentral:rRNA from 1 species